UUCCUGUUUUUUUUUUUUUUUUCUUUCAGUUUUAUUCUGACCCUAUGAUGCAGUUGGUCGCAACAAUAACAAUGGAGCCCUCCCCCGCCUCUUCGCCUUACUCCUCUCGUGAUUGGAUGAUGCAGGGCGUGACUUCGAACGGUUUCUUCGCCACGACAGAUUCUGCGAUCUGAACGGACAGUCCUGGGCUUGAGCCUCUGGUUGAGAGGACCUCCUCCCUCAGCGGGGAUGGGGUCAAAGAGCACGGCUCCGGCUCCAAGGACUCUGGGAUUGCGGCAGAAACCAACACCAAGGGUUCGGGGCUGUUCCAGUUGAAAGAACUCACCUUUGUCAGCUCCUCUUCAUCAUCAUGCUGAUCAAGGAUGCCUUCAGACUCGGGCUCUGGCUCCUCUCCGACUGUCUCCACCCCUCCUCCCACCAUGUCAGCUAUCUGUCCAUUCAUCUGCCCGGCGAUCUCCACCUGCAACCAUUCCUGGUUACAGUCACAGAAAGAAAGAAACAGAGACAGAAGGCAGGAGAGAAGGAAGAAAUAGCAGAAUAAGAGCUCCCAUGUCCUGACCCAAGCUUUAUUUGCCGAUGCAAGACAUCAGAGAGACAAGAGAAAUACUUAGGUUGUUAAGACCCACGGUCCCCAUCUGCCCCACAGAUGGUGUGCCCCAGCUCUGCCACUCGAUCAUGUGGGCAACGCGACCCUGGGCCAUGGCAGUGGGCUUGGUCACUUUGUCCUUCAUGGAGCGAGUCACGCCUACAACAGGGUCUACAGCUGAGAAGUGAUACAUGGCUCACUAAUAUUCUGAGCCCCGGGGAAAGCGGCUCUGUGGCCUUGAUCUGGGCGUCCUUUCUUUUAGGACCGAGGCCUGGCCCGUCUGACAGCGGGAGGCAGUUCUGGGUCAGAGAUGCUCAUGGCCACCUAUCAAUCAAAAAUAUUGACCAGAUGCCUCACUCUGUGUAUCCAUCACCCUCUGACUUGGCUGGCUAGAUCACGCAAUCCAUCUACAAAAGUUGUCCAACUCCAGCUGCACUUCGCUACAUCAGCACAAUUAUUGUAAACAAAAAGAGCAGCAGCGAAGAAGAAGAAGAAGAAGAAGAAGACAUCCGGCCUCAAACAACCUCCAUGCUGCGCUGCUCGCUGUCAGCCACUGGCUCGGAUUUGGAGGGAGAUUUGUCGGAGUGAGAGCGGUUGCUGGAAGCUGUUCUUCCAGACAAAAAGGCUCAGGCUUUCAGAGUCUCUGAUGAAGACAGAUUGUGAAAGAAGUCACCCCCAACAUGUUUAUUCUCUCCAGAGGGGAGCAGCCUUUUCUGCAUUAUUUUUUAUUUUAAACGACCGAGGUAUUAUCAAUCAUUUGACGAACCACCUCUUUCCCCGCGUGUAGAUAUUUGCUGCUAAAUCCAAAAACACCUCAAACCACACUGGAAGCAGCUAGAAGUUAGAGCCAUGCCCAAACAUUUCUUCUGUGGGGAGUUUUGCCGAUAAGUCUAGUCCAGGGGUGUCAAACUCACUUUAGUUCAUGGAACACAUAACCCUAAUUUGAUCUCAUGUGGGACAGGCCUUUAAACCACUCCAGAAACUUUAUCUGCCGCAGAGUUUCUUGUAAGCUUGAUGUUGGCAAACGCAAGUUGCUUCUGCUAUGACAGCGUUCUAAGGCCACUGUAGGAAAAACAAUUAUGUUAGAGGAGAGAGGGGUAAUAUUCUGAGAAAAAACUCAGAACUUCUAAGAUUAAAGUCGUAAAUUUACGGAAAAAGAACUCCGAUAUUCUCUGAGAUUUAAGUGGAAUUGGAAUAUAUUCUCUGCAAUUUUUUACACUUUGCAAAGUCAUACAGUGGGCCUGAUUGGACCCUUAGGCAGGCCCGUUCUGGCCCACGGGCCGUAUGUUUGAAACCCCUGGUCUAGUCGAUAACGAUCUACUCUGAAUAAAAAAAGAAGACAGAGAGGUGCUGUUGAAAGCUGCAGAAAAAGCUAGCAAGUGCAGUGAAGAUUUUUAUAUACGUACAUAUCAAACUACUGUUUCCAAGGUCAACUGAAUUCUAAUUCUGGCAUGUUGUUUUUGAAACUAAGGUUAAUUAUGCUGCGGUCUCAGAAAUGUCUUGUUAUUAAUUCACAGUAAAAUGUGCCUAAAGUUGGGUGAGUGUUCCU